CCCUUAGAUGUUCUGGGCCGCACGCGCGCUACACUGAUGCAUUCAACGAGCCUAUCCUUGACCGACAGGUCCGGGUAAUCUUUGAAUCUGCAUCGUGACGGGGAUAGAUUAUUGCAAUUAUUAAUCUUCAACGAGGAAUGCCUAGUAGGCGCAAGUCAUCAGCUUGCGUCGAUUACGUCCCUGCCCUUUGUACACACCGCCCGUCGCUCCUACCGAUUGAAUGCUCAGGUGAGCCAUUCGGACCUUCAUCAUGCCGGUUUCCGGUUUUGAUGAGGGAAAGUCUUGCGAACCUUAUCAUUUAGAGGAAGGAGAAGUCGUAACA
rnacentral:rRNA from 1 species